AACGAAUGCUGGCGGCAGGCCUAACAUAUGCAAGUCGAGCGGAUCCUUCGGGAUUAGCGGCGGACGGGUGAGUAACGCGUGGGAAUAUGCCCUUCUCUACGGAAUAGCCUCGGGAAACUGGGAGUAAUACCGUAUACGCCCUACGGGGGAAAGAUUUAUCGGAGAAGGAUUAGCCCGCGUUGGAUUAGGUAGUUGGUGGGGUAAUGGCCUACCAAGCCUACGAUCCAUAGCUGGUUUGAGAGGAUGAUCAGCCACACUGGGACUGAGACACGGCCCAGACUCCUACGGGAGGCAGCAGUGGGGAAUCUUAGACAAUGGGGGAAACCCUGAUCUAGCCAUGCCGCGUGAGUGAUGAAGGCCUUAGGGUUGUAAAGCUCUUUCAGCUGGGAAGAUAAUGACGGUACCAGCAGAAGAAGCCCCGGCUAACUCCGUGCCAGCCGCCGCUGUAACAC
rnacentral:rRNA from 1 species